rnacentral:tRNA from 1 species
AUUUAUAUAGUUUAAUAUAAAACAUUACAUUUUCAUUGUAUAGAUAAAGUACUUAAAUUUUUAUAAAUA